AGAGUUUGAUCCUGGCUCAGGACGAACGCUGGCGGCGUGCUUAACACAUGCAAGUCGAACGAAAAGAGGGAAAGAGCUUGCUCUUUCCGGAAUUGAGUGGCAAACGGGUGAGUAACACGUAAACAACCUGCCUUCAGGAUGGGGACAACAGACGGAAACGACUGCUAAUACCGAAUAAGUUCCAAGAGCCGCAUGGCCCAUGGAAGAAAAGGUGGCCUCUACCUGUAAGCUAUCGCCUGAAGAGGGGUUUGCGUCUGAUUAGCUGGUUGGAGGGGUAACGGCCCACCAAGGCGACGAUCAGUAGCCGGUCUGAGAGGAUGAACGGCCACACUGGAACUGAGACACGGUCCAGACUCCUACGGGAGGCAGCAGUGGGGAAUCUUCCGCAAUGGGCGAAAGCCUGACGGAGCAACGCCGCGUGAGUGAAGAAGGUCUUCGGAUCGUAAAGCUCUGUUGAUGGGGACGAACGUGCGAAGGGUGAAUAAUCCUUUGCAAUGACGGUACCUAUCGAGGAAGCCACGGCUAACUACGUGCCAGCAGCCGCGGUAAUACGUAGGUGGCGAGCGUUAUCCGGAAUGAUUGGGCGUAAAGGGUGCGUAGGUGGCAGAUCAAGUCUGGAGUAAAAGGUAUGGGCUCAACCCGUACUGGCUCUGGAAACUGAUCAGCUAGAGAACAGAAGAGGACGGCGGAACUCCAUGUGUAGCGGUAAAAUGCGUAGAUAUAUGGAAGAACACCGGUGGCGAAGGCAGCCGUCUGGUCUGGAUUCUGACACUGAAGCACGAAAGCGUGGGGAGCAAAUAGGAUUAGAUACCCUAGUAGUCCACGCCGUAAACGAUGAGUACUAAGUGUUGGAUGUCAAAGUUCAGUGCUGCAGUUAACGCAAUAAGUACUCCGCCUGAGUAGUACGUUCGCAAGAAUGAAACUCAAAGGAAUUGACGG
rnacentral:rRNA from 1 species